rnacentral:ncRNA from 1 species
AGGAUAGAGGUGCGUUACUCAUCAGUAACCUGCUGCAGGCCGCCUGCCGUUACACAGCAGUUGAAAGGGUUUAACGCCGAAGGUACUUGGCAAUGGCAUGCCCUGUGGCCUGGGUGUACGGUUAAGAGCCGUGCAACUGUCAUCAAUGCUUGAUGGGGAGCUAUCU